GUCCACGCCGUAAACGAUGGAUGCUAGCCGUCGGCAAGCUUGCUUGUCGGUGGCGCAGCUAACGCAUUAAGCAUCCCGCCUGGGAGUACGGCCGCAAGGUUAAACUCAAAGGAAUUGACGGGGGCCCGCACAAGCGGUGGAGCAUGUGGUUUAAUUCGACGCAACGCGAAGAACCUUACCAGCUCUUGACAUGGCCGGACGGUUUCCAGAGAUGGAUUCCCCCUAGCAAUAGGCCGGUACACAGGUGCUGCAUGGCUGUCGU
rnacentral:rRNA from 1 species